rnacentral:rRNA from 1 species
AGUGAACGCUGGCGGUAGGCCUAACACAUGCACGUCGAACGAGUGGCGGACGGGUGAGCAAUACAUCGGCAUCUACUAUGUCGUGGGGGAUAACGUAGGGAAACUUACGCUACUACCGCAUACGAUUGAAUGCGCCGACGUGGGAUUAGCUCGUUGUCGGGGUAAAGGCCCACCAAGGCGACGAUCCGUACCUGGUCUGAGAGGAUGAUCAGCCACACUGGAACUGAGACACGGUCCAGACUCCUACGGGAGGCAGCAGUGGGGAAUAUUGGACAAUGGGCGAAAGCCUGAUCCAGCCAUACCGCGUGAGUGAAGAAGGUCUUCGGGUUGUAAAGCCCUUUUGUUGGGAAAGCGGUACCAAAAGAAUAAGCAACGGCUAACGUCGUGCCAGCAGCCGCGGUAAUUC